UUUACCAAUUAUUUCAAUUUUUUAUUGGAGGUAUUACUAUCAUAAUAGGGUAAAGUACAAAUGGCUCUUGUAUCAUAUUGGCCCUAUAUGCCCACAAUGGUUUUUCACCAUUACACGCCUACACUUUUAGAAUAUAUACCAAACCAGUUUUCAACCCCAAUAACCAAAACUUUUUUUUUAAUUCAAAAAUAAAAAACACUUUUUUGAACAAAAAAAAAAAACGGGAGUUUCUUUCAAAUUGAAAGCAGUUGUUGCACAAUGCUUUAAGAUUUUUAAAUAUGUUGGAAUAUAACUAUGCCUUGGAUUUAUUGCUUGCUUUGGAUAGGGUCAGUUGGUGAUUUCAAAGGCUAUAGCAUAGGUUCCCAGGUUCUGCUGUGAUCAGGGGGUGACCAGCCUACAUCACUCCAAUUGGGAGAGUAUGUUAUAAUUUGAGUGUUUGGCUGGUGUUUUUUGUUAUUCAACGAGGGUAUGCCAGACCUGAGAGAAGGCUUGAAGUUUGAUUCAUCCUCAAGGAUUCGAGCUGGAGUCCACCGUUGUUCACUAUGGUUAUAACUCUACGAUCCUGUGAGCUGUGAGAGAGUUUUAAAAGGGGGAACAAGAAUUUCAAUAUUUUGGCUGAUGAGUUUGAAGCGAACAAGUUUAUAGAUGAGAUAUCAAAGGAAAACAUCUAUUUCAGCAACUAGUAUUUAAGUAGUCGCUUCUUUGUAUUUUUCUUUUAUCUUUCUAAUCUCUUUAUGUAAAUUUUGGUGUUAGAGCAUUCCAAUUGAGCUCUUUAUAUA